rnacentral:rRNA from 1 species
GACGAACGCUGGCGGCGUGCUUAACACAUGCAAGUCGAGCGGAAAGGCCACUUCGGUGGUACUCGAGCGGCGAACGGGUGCGUAACACGUGCGUAAUCUGCCCCUCACUUUGGGAUAGCCACCGGAAACGGUGAUUAAUACCGGAUAUGACCAUAUGUCGCAUGGCGUGUGGUGGAAAGUUUUUCGGUGAGGGAUGUGCUCGCGGCCUAUCAGCUUGAUGGUGAGGUAAUGGCUCACCAUGGCUUCGACGGGUAGCCGGCCUGAGAGGGUGACCGGUCACACUGGGACUGAGACACGGCCCAGACUCCUACGGGAGGCAGCAGUGGGGAAUAUUGGACAAUGGGCGGAAGCCUGAUCCAGCAACGCCGCGUGAGGGAUGACGGCCUUCGGGUUGUAAACCUCUUUCAGUACCGACGAAGCGAAAGUGACGGUAGGUACAGAAGAAGCACCGGCCAACUACGUG